rnacentral:rRNA from 1 species
ACGAACGCUGGCGGCGUGCUUAACCCAUGCCAGUCGCACGGAAAGGCCCUGCUUUUGUGGGGUGCUCGAGUGGCGAACGGGUGAGUAACACGUGAGUAACCUGCCCUUGACUUUGGGAUAACUUCAGGAAACUGGGGCUAAUACCGGAUAGGAGCUCCUGCUGCAUGGUGGGGGUUGGAAAGUUUCGGCGGUUGGGGAUGGACUCGCGGCUUAUCAGCUUGUUGGUGGGGUAGUGGCUUACCAAGGCUUUGACGGGUAGCCGGCCUGAGAGGGUGACCGGCCACAUUGGGACUGAGAUACGGCCCAGACUCCUACGGGAGGCAGCAGUGGGGAAUAUUGCACAAUGGGCGGGAGCCUGAUGCAGCAACGCCGCGUGCGGGAUGACGGCCUUCGGGUUGUAAACCGCUUUCGCCUGUGACGAAGCGUGAGUGACGGUAAUGGGUAAAGAAGCACCGGCUAACUACGUG